rnacentral:lncRNA from 1 species
AUUGUUAUCAUUAUGUUUGUCUGGAAAUCAGCAGAAUGGGGGUGUUGAUUUCCAGCGGGUGGGUUUUCCUUUGUCCCUUUUUUUUUUUUUUUUUUUUGUUCUAACCCAGAUUUUCAUGUUUAACAGGCCCACAGCUGAUCCAUCCCCCAGUACACAAUUGAGACAGAGGAGGUUAAAGCACUCUGAACGCAUGGGACCAUAUUGCAGGUCAGAGAAGAAAGCGAGAAUGAAGUUCUGUUUAAAGAAGGUGAUAACAAACGUCCAAGCUAAAAAUGCUUGAAUGCUACAAAUGUCUAAAGAAGGCAAUAAAGGUAUUUGUGCCUGUGGCAGGGUCUUGGUCUUUUGUUCUCCUCCUGCUCCUCCUCUGCAUCACAAGACGACCCGCAUGCACACGAGCUUCAGACAGUGAGGUCACUUCCCUCUGCACCUCCACCACUGCUCUUGCAUUCCAACAUGGCUCUAGGACAGCAGCCCAGCAAAGCUCUAUACUCCUCAAAUCACAAAGAGGCCCAGAUCAGAGCCGAGCUGGACGUGAGCCAGGAUCCAGGCCUUCACAGCCCAGGCAGCUGGGGGCAGCCUAUAAUAAGUGGGAGACAAUGAGAACUAGCACACCUCCCACGCUUUGCAUGUGGAUGUCGAUCCAGAAUUGA